CACCUAUAGGCCGAUGAUUAGCGGCCGCGAUUCGCCUUGUGCCAGCAGCCGCGGUAAUUCCCAGCUCCAAUAGCGUAUACUAAAGUUGUUGCGGUUAAAAAGCUCGUAGUUGGAUCUUGGAAUGUGUUCAAGCGGGUCAGCUUCUGGCUGUGCGCUGCUUGACGUGUUCUUCUAUUUGGUUUUGGUGCGGUGCGCUUAACUGCGUGUCGCUCCCGGCCGAAACGUUUACCUUGAAAAAAUUAGAGUGUUCAAAGCAGACCUGUUUGAGUCUGAAUAUUCGUGCAUGGAAUAAUGAAAUAUGAAUUCGGUUCUAUUUUGUUGGUUUUCGGAACUCGAGUUAAUGAUCAAGAGGGACAGACGGGGGCAUUCGUACUCUGCCGUUAGAGGUGAAAUUCUUGGAUCGGCGGAAGACGCGCAACUGCGAAAGCAUUUGCCAAGAAUGUUUUCUUUAAUCAAGAACGAUAGUCGGAGGUUCGAAGACGAUCAGAUACCGUCCUAGUUUCGACUGUAAACUAUGCCAGCUAACGAUCAGACAGAGUUCUCUACGACUUGUCUGGCAGUUUCCGGGAAACCAAAGCGUUUGGGUUCCGGGGGAAGUAUGGUUGCAAAGCUGAAACUUAAAGGAAUUGACGGAAGGGCACCACCAGGAGUGGAGCCUGCGGCUUAAUUUGACUCAACACGGGGAAACUCACCCGGCCCGGACACAGUGAGGAUUGACAGAUUGAGAGUUCUUUCUUGAUUCUGUGGGUGGUGGUGCAUGGCCGUUCUUAGUUGGUGGAGCGAUUUGUCUGGUUAAUUCCGAUAACGAACGAGACUCUGGCAUGUUAAAUAGUCGCGGAAGUGCGUAUGCACUUGCCGAAUUGACUUCUUAGAGGGACUAGUGAUUUUAAUUCACACGAGAUUGAGCAAUAACAGGUCUGUGAUG
rnacentral:rRNA from 1 species